UGGGGAAUAUUGGACAAUGGGGGCAACCCUGAUCCAGCCAUGCCGCGUGUGUGAAGAAGGCCUUCGGGUUGUAAAGCACUUUAAGCGGGGAGGAAGGCUCGCGACUUAAUACGUCGCGGGAGUGACGUUACCCGCAGAAUAAGCACCGGCAAACUCCGUGCCAGCAGCCGCGGUAAUACGGAGGGUGCGAGCGUUAAUCGGAAUUACUGGGCGUAAAGCGCACGUAGGCGGUUUGUUAAGUCGGAUGUGAAAUCCCCGGGCUCAACCUGGGUGCUGCAUUCGAUACUGGCAGACUUGAAUACGGUAGAGGGGGGUGGAAUUCCAGGUGUAGCGGUGAAAUGCGUAGAGAUCUGGAGGAACACCAGUGGCGAAGGCGGCCCCCUGGACCGAUAUUGACGCU
rnacentral:rRNA from 1 species